UACGAAGGGUGCAAGCGUUACUCGGAAUUACUGGGCGUAAAGCGUGCGUAGGCGGCCUCAUAAGUCCGUUGUGAAAGUCAAAGGCUCAACCUUUGAAAGCCGAUGGAUACUGUGAGGCUAGAGUCCGGAAGAGGCGAGUGGAAUUCCUGGUGUAGCGGUGGAAUGCGCAGAUAUCAGGAGGAACACCAAUAGCGAAGGCAGCUCGCUGGGACGGUACUGACGCUAAGGCGCGAAAGCGUGGGGAGCGAACAGG
rnacentral:rRNA from 1 species